CCUACGGGAGGCAGCAGUCGAGGAUCUUCGGCAAUGGACGCAAGUCUGACCGAGCAACGCCGCGUGUGCGAUGAAGGCCUUCGGGUUGUAAAGCACUGUCGAGGGGAAACAAGCCGUAAGGUUGAGUGACCCCUGGAGGAAGCACGGGCUAAGUUCGUGCCAGCAGCCGCGGUAAGACGAACCGUGCAAACGUUAUUCGGAAUCACUGGGCUUAAAGGGCGCGUAGGCGGGUAAUCAAGUCAAUGGUGAAAUCCUCCAGCUUAACUGGAGAAGUGCCUUUGAUACUGGUUGUCUAGAGGGAGGUAGGGGCAUGUGGAACUUCAGGUGGAGCGGUGAAAUGCGUAGAUAUCUGAAGGAACGCCAGUGGCGAAAGCGAUGUGCUGGACCUCUUCUGACGCUGAGGCGCGAAAGCUAGGGGAUCAAACGGGAUUAGAUACCCCGGUAGUCCUAGCCCUAAACUAUGGGUACUAGAUUGUGGACUUUCAUGGGUUCACAGUCGAAGCAAAAGUGUUAAGUACCCCGCCUGGGGAGUAUGGUCGCAAGGCUGAAACUCAAAUGAAUUGACGG
rnacentral:rRNA from 1 species